AGUGAACGCUGGCGGUAGGCCUAACACAUGCAAGUCGAACGGCAGCACAGUAAGAGCUUGCUCUUACGGGUGGCGAGUGGCGGACGGGUGAGGAAUACAUCGGAAUCUACUUUUUCGUGGGGGAUAACGUAGGGAAACUUACGCUAAUACCGCAUACGACCUACGGGUGAAAGCAGGGGAUCUUCGGACCUUGCGCGAUUGAAUGAGCCGAUGUCGGAUUAGCUAGUUGGCGGGGUAAAGGCCCACCAAGGCGACGAUCCGUAGCUGGCCUGAGAGGAUGAUCAGCCACACUGGAACUGAGACACGGUCCAGACUCCUACGGGAGGCAGCAGUGGGGAAUAUUGGACAAUGGGCGCAAGCCUGAUCCAGCCAUACCGCGUGGGUGAAGAAGGCCUUCGGGUUGUAAAGCCCUUUUGUUGGGAAAGAAAAGCAGCAGGUUAAUACCCCGCUGUUCUGACGGUACCCAAAGAAUAAGCACCGGCUAACUUCCUG
rnacentral:rRNA from 1 species